rnacentral:lncRNA from 1 species
UUCUUCUUCUUCUUCUUCUUCUUCUUCUUCUUCUUCUUCUUCUUCUUCUUCUUCUUCUUCUUUUCUUGUAAGUCUUGGCUAGAAUGUGAGUUUUUAAGUGAAGUUUUUUGUUUUUUUUUUUUUUUUCGUCCGAGACAGGGUUUCUCUGUAUAGCCCCGACUGUCCUGGAACUCACUCUGUAGACCAGGCUGGCCUCGAACUCAGGCUGGGAUUAAAGGCGUGCGCCACCACGAAUCUUAAUUCAUACUGUUUUACCUUGUGAUUUUUGCAUCUUCUAAGCCAUUAGGUUUCUUUAUGUGAAGUUAGCACAUAGUGAAAGAGGAUAUGAUAAAUACACAGUAGCUUCUUUUUCCCAGAAAUGAGGAUUAAACUAAGAUCUUACAUAUACUAGGCAAUUCCCCAGGCCUUGCUCUUGUGCCUUCCUUUCCUCAGCAGCUAUGUAUUGGUAGAAUCCAGUGGGAUAUCUACCAAUCUAUCCAUGUGGGAUAGAUACUGGGCUAGGAAUGGGCCGAACGGUGGGAUACCUCCCCAACCAGUCAGCUGCUUUGCAUGGACAGGUUCAUACAAAAUAAUAAAGGAAAGUAAAUGUUUUGGUCAGUCAUUAGCACUUUUUGAAAUCAAGAACAAUUAUUCUCACAGAAUCACUCCCAGGUCUUUUAAGAAUGAUCAGUAUGGAUCUUUGCAGAGGAUUUGAUCUAGGAUAACUAUGUUUUGUUUUGUUUUGUUUUGUUUUGUUUUUUAAUUCCCAGGUUUCUUAAUGCAGCCAUCUUUGGGAAAUACAAGAUAAUUUGCAAGGUAUCAGAAUAGAAAAUAUAGGAAUGAGACUAAUGGCUUCCUUUGAUACAACAUUAAAUCGGGGCUUUGUAUAAAGAAACAAGAAAGCUGGAUAUACACCCUAGCCUGUAAGUUUUGCAUGCUCCCUACUUUGAGAUGGUGUCAUGUUCUGUCAUCUUAUGUGCCCUUUCACUAGCAGUCUUCCUGCCCUAACCUCCCCAGAGGUUACAGGAUUAUAGAAAUGUGUACAACUCACAGCUGAAAUCCUGAGACCCAAUAUCCAGUUGGGGGAGAGUGGGCACUUUACUUACCCGUCUCUCUUCUGUUUAGAGCCUUGGAUUUUUAUAUUGUGGUUCUUUGUACUCUAUGGUCUUGCACAUAGUUUGUUAGGUUUAUUUUUAUUUUCACGAUGCAACAGAUGGGCCCAUGGUGCUACACGCUGUUCCUGAUCUAUUUCCCAACCCCCAGGUUUAUUUUCUGGUAUUGUCUUUCUUUCUUUAGUACUACUGUAAGUGGUGUGUUUCUGUAUUUAAACCCCAAUCACUCAUUUCUGGAAUAUGUGAAAAUAAUUAAAAUUUGAAUAUUGACUUGUGUCUUGAAGCCUACUAUUACCAAAUCAAGCACAACUUCUAAUAGUUGUUACUUUUUAAUCGAUUCUUUAAAAUCUCCUACUAAACCUGCCAUGUCAUUCAUGAACAAAGGGAGUUUGAUUUCUUCCUGCCCCAGUAUGUACAAGCCUUUUCAUUUUUUCUUUUGUAGACCAAUUUUUCUUUCACAUAAUUAAAACAGAAUAGUAUUAACACACUUUAAACCCACAUGUAACUAGGAUUCUGAACAUUAGUUCGAGGACUAUUUUAUAGUUAUGACAACAACUGUCCCUGCUAAAUGCAGCAUGAACAUGUAGGCUUUAGUUGACUUUGAAGACACCAGCAGCAGACAGAUCAGCAUCUCAGUACUGUGAGACCAUGGUUGGUAUAUAAAUUUGAUAAGUGCUAAAGAACCAAAGGUGGGGUCAGAAAAGCAAGUCCCUUAAGGGAGAAUAUAGGAAGAUUUCUGAUAACAUCAAAUGAGUUUAUAGAAAGAAGAUGGCAGUCUUCCAACCAUGAUGAUAUGGGCUGAAUCUCUGAAGCUGUAAGCCAGCCCCAGUUAUAAAACUGACUAUGGUCAUAUUGUCUCUUCACAGCAAUGAAACCCUAGGACAAAAUCCUAGCCCCCUUUCGAUAGGAAGAUAUAGUCAGUAAAGUACAAACCUGGAACUAGUCAGACCAUGUAUGGAAACAAUAAGAACAUGUAUCUUAUGCAGUGGGGUAGAACUGCAGACGACAGUGAGUCCUCUCCCCCACUGACACCUAAGCUUCGCCAGCUCCUUGCCCUCUUUGGGGAUGCCUGAGGAUGAGAAAACUCAAUGACUUCUGGAGAACAAUGCACUAUCAAGAACUAAAUAAAUAGUGGCUUGCACACAGCCUGUGGAGUUUAACAUAGCUCCCUGGAGGAAACGGUUGAAAAAUAAAUGGGAUUUUUUUCUUUGUAUUUUAGCAGUCAUUUCUAAUGUUUGUAAGACCUCCUUGAGUGCUGAAUUCCAAAAUGAACAUCACAUGCUUGAAGAAGGCAGUAGUAAGUCUUUAUAGGCAAUUUACAUCUUCUGUGAAAGGUGAUAUUCUUUAGGGUUUUUUUUUUUUUUUUCAGUAUGGAAAAGUAGCACAAGAAAAAAAAAAAAAAGAAAGAACAGAAGGGAUAGAGAUAUUGAAGUGUUAAUUAGAACGCAUAAGUGGACCCUCCGACUCCUUAGGCUGUAUUUGUGAAGGAAACACAGCUUUGUAGGAGUGACAGAUGUUGAGACUCUCAGAAUCCCCAUACAGAAGACCUGCAAUUACAUACCUGAAUGUCCCUUCCCCCACUAAAAAAGACAAGUGUGCAUACCUUGCAGAAAAUCACAGAAGCUUAAAAAUGGAUAUCUUUGUUGCUGUUUCUUGUUGAAAUUUUGUCUUAUUGACAGUUUUGAGUUGAACUUCAUUUGGAAGCAUGGGUGAUCUUGAAGUCUUAAUUUUUGACAAAGAAAAUCCAGAUAACAAUUCUGGAGGUUUUGAGCCACCCAGAGCCACGCAGCUGCUCCCAAGCAUGGUAAAUGGACUGUGAUUGCCAUCUUGUGGUUGAUUAGAACAUUGCCUGCC